rnacentral:misc_RNA from 1 species
GAAAUGCGAUAAGUAAUGUGAAUUGCAGAAUUCCGUGAAUCAUCGAAUCUUUGAACGCACAUUGCGCCCUCUGGUAUUCCGGGGGGCAUGCCUGUCCGAGCGUCAUUGCGAACCCCUCAAGCACGGCUUGUGUGAUGGGCCCUCCCGCGUCUUGGUCGUCAAGACGGGCCCGAAAAGCAGUGGCGGCUUCGCGGUUAUCCGAUCAGCCAGAGAAUAUGGGGACUUUCUCUCUGUCACACGCCCGCGGCGCGGACCGACGCCUGUCGACCUUUAUUCAUCUUUUUCUCGGUUGACCUCGGAUCAGGUAGGGAUACCCGCUGAACUUAAGC